rnacentral:rRNA from 5 species
AGAGUUUGAUCCUGGCUCAGGAUGAACGCUGGCGGUAUGCUUAACACAUGCAAGUCGAACGGUGUCUUCGGACACAGUGGCGGACGGGUGAGUAACGCGUGAGAAUCUGGCUCUAGGUCUGGGACAACCACUGGAAACGGUGGCUAAUACCGGAUGUGCCGAGAGGUGAAAGGUUAACUGCCUAGAGAUGAGCUCGCGUCUGAUUAGCUAGUUGGAAGUGUAAUGGACUCCCAAGGCGACGAUCAGUAGCUGGUCUGAGAGGACGAUCAGCCACACUGGGACUGAGACACGGCCCAGACUCCUACGGGAGGCAGCAGUGGGGAAUUUUCCGCAAUGGGCGAAAGCCUGACGGAGCAAUACCGCGUGAGGGAGGAAGGCUCUUGGGUCGUAAACCUCUUUUCUCAGGGAAGAACAAAAUGACGGUACCUGAGGAAUAAGCAUCGGCUAACUCCGUGCCAGCAGCCGCGGUAAUACGGAGGAUGCAAGCGUUAUCCGGAAUGAUUGGGCGUAAAGCGUCCGCAGGUGGCAAUGUAAGUCUGCUGUUAAAGAGUCUAGCUCAACUAGAUAAAAGCAGUGGAAACUACAUAGCUAGAGUACGUUCGGGGCAGAGGGAAUUCCUGGUGUAGCGGUGAAAUGCGUAGAGAUCAGGAAGAACACCGGUGGCGAAGGCGCUCUGCUAGGCCGUAACUGACACUGAGGGACGAAAGCUAGGGGAGCGAAUGGGAUUAGAUACCCCAGUAGUCCUAGCCGUAAACGAUGGAUACUAGGCGUGGCUUGUAUCGACCCGAGCCGUGCCGUAGCUAACGCGUUAAGUAUCCCGCCUGGGGAGUACGCCGGCAACGGUGAAACUCAAAGGAAUUGACGGGGGCCCGCACAAGCGGUGGAGUAUGUGGUUUAAUUCGAUGCAACGCGAAGAACCUUACCAAGGCUUGACAUGUCGCGAAUCUUCUUGAAAGGGAAGAGUGCCUUCGGGAGCGCGAACACAGGUGGUGCAUGGCUGUCGUCAGCUCGUGUCGUGAGAUGUUGGGUUAAGUCCCGCAACGAGCGCAACCCUCGUUUUUAGUUGCCAGCAUUAAGUUGGGCACUCUAGAGAGACUGCCGGUGACAAACCGGAGGAAGGUGGGGAUGACGUCAAGUCAGCAUGCCCCUUACGCCUUGGGCUACACACGUACUACAAUGCUCCGGACAGAGGGCAGCAAGCAUGCGAAUGCAAGCAAAUCCCGUAAACCGGAGCUCAGUUCAGAUCGCAGGCUGCAACUCGCCUGCGUGAAGGAGGAAUCGCUAGUAAUUGCAGGUCAGCAUACUGCAGUGAAUUCGUUCCCGGGCCUUGUACACACCGCCCGUCACACCAUGGAAGCUGGUAGUGCCCGAAGUCAUUACUCCAACCAUUCGUGGAGGAGGAUGCCUAAGGCAGGACUGGUGACUGGGGUGAAGUCGUAACAAGGUAGCCGUACCGGAAGGUGUGGCUGGAUCACCUCCUU